GACGUAGGGCGCGAGCGUUUGUCCGGAUUUAUUGGGCGUAAAGAGCUCGUAGGCGGCUUGUCGCGUCGAAUGUGAAAACUCGGGGCUCAACUCCGAGCUUGCAUUCGAUACGGGCAGGCUAGAGUUCGGUAGGGGAGACUGGAAUUCCUGGUGUAGCGGUGAAAUGCGCAGAUAUCAGGAGGAACACCGGUGGCGAAGGCAGGUCUCUGGGCCGAUACUGACGCUGAGGAGCGAAAGCGUGGGGAGCGAACAGG
rnacentral:rRNA from 1 species